UAAAAAGCAGAGACCUAUUGCCAUAAAGUGAGUAGGUCUUUCGUUAACAUCAGGGAAAUUAGUUGUGCAUUGUUAUUGGGUGAACCACUUGAGUUUUCUCUAUGAUGGCAGGUUCAGUAAACGAUGCUACAUAU
rfam:Spinacia oleracea cultivar SynViroflay scaffold6846.con0003.1, whole genome shotgun sequence.